rnacentral:rRNA from 1 species
GACGAACGCUGGCGGCGUGCUUAACACAUGCAAGUCGAACGGGUCUGCCCUGUUUUUUGCGGGGUGGGUCAGUGGCGAACGGGUGAGUAACACGUGAGUAACCUGCCCCUCACUUCUGGAUAACCGCUUGAAAGGGUGGCUAAUACGGGGUGUUCUGGCUGUGCCGCAUGGUGUGGCUGGGAAAGAUUCACUUUUGUGGUGUUUUGGUGGGGGAUGGGCUCGCGGCCUAUCUGCUUGUUGGUGGGGUGAUGGCCUGCCAAGGGUUUGACGGGUCGCCGGCCUGGGAGGGUGGGCGGUCACACUGGGAGUGAGAUACGGCCCAGACUCCUGCGGGAGGCAGCAGUGGGGGGUAUUGCAGAAUGGGCGGAAGCCUGAGGCAGCGACGGCGCGUGAGGGAUGGAGGCCUUCGGGUUGUGACCUCUUUCGCCGGUGAAGAAGGUCCUGCUCUUUGUGGUGGGGUUGACGGUAGCCGGGUUAUGAAGCGCCGGCUAACUACGUG